AGGACGAACGCUGGCGGCGUGCUUAACACAUGCAAGUCGAACGGAAAGGCCCUUUCGGGGGUGCUCGAGUGGCGAACGGGUGAGUAACACGUGGGUGAUCUGCCCUGCACUUUGGGAUAAGCCUGGGAAACUGGGUCUAAUACCGGAUAGGACUACGAAUCGCAUGGUUUGUGGUGGAAAGCUUUUGCGGUGUGGGAUGGGCCCGCGGCCUAUCAGCUUGUUGGUGGGGUGAUGGCCUACCAAGGCGACGACGGGUAGCCGGCCUGAGAGGGUGUCCGGCCACACUGGGACUGAGAUACGGCCCAGACUCCUACGGGAGGCAGCAGUGGGGAAUAUUGCACAAUGGGCGCAAGCCUGAUGCAGCGACGCCGCGUGAGGGAUGACGGCCUUCGGGUUGUAACCUCUUUCAGUACCGACGAAGCGCAAGUGACGGUAGGUACAGAAGAAGCACCGGCCAACUACGUGCCAGCACGCCGC
rnacentral:rRNA from 1 species